rnacentral:rRNA from 1 species
AGUCGAGCGGUAGCACAGGGGAGCUUGCUCCCUGGGUGACGAGCGGCGGACGGGUGAGUAAUGUCUGGGAAACUGCCUGAUGGAGGGGGAUAACUACUGGAAACGGUAGCUAAUACCGCAUAACGUCGCAAGACCAAAGAGGGGGACCUUCGGGCCUCUUGCCAUCAGAUGUGCCCAGAUGGGAUUAGCUAGUAGGUGGGGUAACGGCUCACCUAGGCGACGAUCCCUAGCUGGUCUGAGAGGAUGACCAGCCACACUGGAACUGAGACACGGUCCAGACUCCUACGGGAGGCAGCAGUGGGGAAUAUUGCACAAUGGGCGCAAGCCUGAUGCAGCCAUGCCGCGUGUGUGAAGAAGGCCUUCGGGUUGUAAAGCACUUUCAGCGAGGAGGAAGGUGGUGAGCUUAAUACGCUCAUCAAUUGACGUUACUCGCAGAAGAAGCACCGGCUAACUCCGUGCCAGCAGCCGCGGUAAUACGGAGGGUGCAAGCGUUAAUCGGAAUUACUGGGCGUAAAGCGCACGCAGGCGGUUUGUUAAGUCAGAUGUGAAAUCCCCGGGCUCAACCUGGGAACUGCAUUUGAAACUGGCAAGCUAGAGUCUCGUAGAGGGGGGUAGAAUUCCAGGUGUAGCGGUGAAAUGCGUAGAGAUCUGGAGGAAUACCGGUGGCGAAGGCGGCCCCCUGGACGAAGACUGACGCU